AGAAUGAACGCUGGCGGCAUGCCUAACACAUGCAAGUCGAACGAGUGCCUUCGGGUGCUAGUGGCGCACGGGUGCGUAACGCGUGGGAAUCUGCCCUUUGGUUCGGAAUAACAGUUGGAAACGACUGCUAAUACCGGAUGAUGACGUAAGUCCAAAGAUUUAUCGCCAGAGGAUGAGCCCGCGUAGGAUUAGCUAGUUGGUGUGGUAAAGGCGCACCAAGGCGACGAUCCUUAGCUGGUCUGAGAGGAUGAUCAGCCACACUGGGACUGAGACACGGCCCAGACUCCUACGGGAGGCAGCAGUAGGGAAUCUUGCGCAAUGGGCGAAAGCCUGACGCAGCAACGCCGCGUGAGGGAUGAAGGCUCUAGGGUUGUAAACCUCUUUCAAGUGGGGACGAUAAUGACGGUACCCGCAGAAGAAGCUCCGGCCAACUACGCGCCAGCAGCCGC
rnacentral:rRNA from 1 species